rnacentral:lncRNA from 1 species
ACUGUGAAGUCACAAGAGGCCCUGAGCUCUGUGGGCCCCAGGUGCCCCGGGAAAACUUGGGGGAGAAUGGGCAUCCCACCCCAGCACUUUCUAGGAAGAAGGGCAGCAUUUUGAAGGGCUGGAAGUAGAGGAAGGAGGUUGCGGGUAGAAGACUCCAUACUUUCUGUGACGCCUAUUCCUUAGGUAGGAACUUAGGAACCUCAGUCAGAGGCAUGGCUUGCCUGGGCCUCUGGGUGCAGCUGCACAGAUUCAAGCAGCCUGAAGGAAAGGUGACUGACAGCUAAUGAUCUGAAAAGAACUUGUCUCAACUCAACGUCAUUCCUGGCAUUAUCGAACAAAGCAAUAAACCUCACAGAAUGGAAGCUACAGUGUCCAGGGCCAGCUCUGCUAAGCUUGUGAUGAAUGUUUUCUCAGUAUCCUAUGCUGAAAACAGGUAGAUACUAAUAUCGAUCUUCAAGGGAGGGCUGUUGAGUAUUGAAUAAGACAAAAACAUGGAAGCAAUCAGCACCAUGCUGGAAUCAAGGCUAUCUGUAAUCACAGGGCUAUUUGAAAAAGAGAAGAAAAGGUGUCUUGAAAUUCAACCAACAUGUUUCAAUUAUUUGCUCCUAAGAACAACAGAAGUUUCAACAUUCUGCCAACAGAGUAACUCCUGGAAGAUUGGCACAGAAGAAGGCACAAGGAGAGCCUUUAUAUAACCAAAGAUAUUUUUGGACCAUGAAUUCAGAAAUUCUCGGAGCCACCCAUCAGUGCCUGAGCUUCAGUGAGUCCAUAUCCCAUGUCACCCACGGCAAAGGAGACUCUAAGACUUCUGAAGACUAAAGUUACAGAACCCAAAUUUGGCAACUGUCUGCAUCUGAACAACAGAAGUUUCAACAUUCUGCCAACAGAGUAACUCCUGGACGAUUGGCACAGAAGAAGGCACAAGGCAAAUACCCAUCUCUGUACACCCUGUGCUACUGUGUCAUGUGCUGCUCCAGGCAACUCCAAUGGAUUGGCCACCCUGGCCAAUGUGUUCUAGUAUGUUACGUUUAUGUUCCCCUGCUUUCUACAAUCCUGUUCAAAGAGUUGCUGACUUAACCACAGAGAGGAUUCCAGAACCUGAGACACAGAAUAAACUUGAGCAAUCAUAGUCCAUCCACUUCAUUGUCUCAUCAAAAACCAAAGGUCCAGUGAAGCUCUGGAACUCAACGCUGUAAAGGAGCGAAGGAGCUUCUAUACAGAGCCUGGAUGCCUGUCUCCUUAUCCUACUUCAGUGGACUUGACUGCAAUCCGGAUUAUGCUGUUUUCUAAGCAUUUAAAAUAAAAUAAAAAGUAUAAUAGUGUGAUAAGUUCUUUCACAAAGCAAGCAAUCACAUUUAUGUUUCUACUUACAUUUGGGUUUUCCAAAUAUGUGUGUGUGUGUGUGUGUGUGUGUGUGUGUGUGUAUGUAGACUUUAAACAUGGUGCAUCCAUCAUGUUGCACUAAAUCAAAACCACCAAAUAAUGAUGUAGAACUAAUAAAUCAAAACCAUCAAAUAAUGACAUAGAAAUCCAAUUCUCCCACCUUACACCCAUUAAGAUGGCUACU